CGGGGAGUAGCUUAGUUGGUAGAGCAUCGGACUGGGGGUCCGAAGGUCGCCCGUUCAAGUCGGGUCUCCCCGACCA
rnacentral:tRNA from 5 species